UACGAAGGGGGCUAGCGUUGCUCGGAAUUACUGGGCGUAAAGCGCACGUAGGCGGCUUGUUAAGUCGGAGGUGAAAUCCUGGAGCUCAACUCCAGAACUGCCUUCGAAACUGGCGAGCUUGAGUCCGGGAGAGGUGAGUGGAACUGCGAGUGUAGAGGUGAAAUUCGUAGAUAUUCGCAAGAACACCAGUGGCGAAGGCGGCUCACUGGCCCGGUACUGACGCUGAGGUGCGAAAGCGUGGGGAGCAAACAGG
rnacentral:rRNA from 1 species